rnacentral:rRNA from 1 species
UACGGAGGGUGCAAGCGUUAAUCGGAAUUACUGGGCGUAAAGCGUGCGCAGGCGGUUUGUUAAGUCUGUUGUGAAAUCCCCGAGCUCAACUUGGGAAUUGCAAUGGAUACUGGCAGGCUGGAGUAUGGUAGAGGAAGGUGGAAUUCCCGGUGUAGCAGUGAAAUGCGUAGAGAUUGGGAAGAACAUCGGUGGCGAAGGCGCUCUGCUGGACCAUAACUGACACUCACAGGACGAAAGCUAGGGGAGCGAAUGGG